CCUACGGGAGGCAGCAGUGAGGAAUAUUGGUCAAUGGGCGCAAGCCUGAACCAGCCAAGUCGCGUGAGGGAUGACGGUCCUAUGGAUUGUAAACCUCUUUUGUCGGGGAGCAAGGCCCGCCACGUGUGGCGGGAAGGAGAGUACCCGCAGAAAAAGCAUCGGCUAACUCCGUGCCAGCAGCCGCGGUAAUACGGAGGAUGCGAGCGUUAUCCGGAUUUAUUGGGUUUAAAGGGUGCGUAGGCGGAAGGUUAAGUCAGCGGUAAAAUGUCGGGGCUCAACACCGGCCUGCCGUUGAAACUGGUCUUCUUGAGUGAGCGAGAAGUAUGCGGAAUGCGUGGUGUAGCGGUGAAAUGCAUAGAUAUCACGCAGAACUCCGAUUGCGAAGGCAGCAUACCGGCGCUCAACUGACGCUGAGGCACGAAAGCGUGGGGAUCGAACAGGAUUAGAUACCCCAGUAGUC
rnacentral:rRNA from 1 species